rnacentral:sRNA from 1 species
CGCCUAACCCUUAUAGUUUUCUAUGAGAUAUGGUGAAAAAUCCACACGAGUGUAGAGACGGCUUUCCGUCUGGUACUACUCGUGUGGUCAAUACCCGAAAGGGUGUUGGAUGCCCUAAAAAGCAUC